UACAGAGGUCUCAAGCGUUGUUCGGAUUCAUUGGGCGUAAAGGGUGCGUAGGCGGCGCGGUAAGUCGGAUGUGAAACCUCGAGGCUUAACCUCGAGCCUGCAUUCGAUACUGGGCGGCUAGAGUCUGGUAGGGGGAUCUGGAAUUCCUGGUGUAGCGGUGGAAUGCGCAGAUAUCAGGAGGAACACCGGUGGCGAAGGCGGGUCUCUGGGCCGAUACUGACGCUGAGGAGCGAAAGCGUGGGGAGCGAACAGG
rnacentral:rRNA from 1 species